rnacentral:rRNA from 1 species
GACGUAGGGCGCGAGCGUUGUCCGGAUUUAUUGGGCGUAAAGAGCUCGUAGGCGGCUUGUCGCGUCGACCGUGAAAACCCGGGGCUCAACUUCGGGCUUGCGGUCGAUACGGGCGGGCUAGAGUUCGGUAGGGGAGACUGGAAUUCCUGGUGUAGCGGUGAAAUGCGCAGAUAUCAGGAGGAACACCGGUGGCGAAGGCGGGUCUCUGGGCCGAUACUGACGUGAGGAGCGAAAGCGUGGGGAGCAAACAGG